GCUAAAAAUCUAGCCCUACCAACCCAAAUGAAAUACCCCAAUCUGUCUAACCUAAUAAAACAUUCUAUCAACCUAGUAAAGGCGAUUAAAAAGUUUUUAGGAGCUUUAAUAUUAGUACCGCAAGGGAACGAUGAAAUAAAAAUGAAAUAAACUUAAUGCCCCACAAAGUAGAGCUAUAUCCUCGUACCUUUUGCAUCAUGGUUUAACCAGUACAACCAAGCAAAACGAACUUUAAGUUUGACCCCCCGAAACUAGGCGAGCUACUUCAGAACAGCCUUCAUGGGCCAACCCAUCCCUGUCGCAAAAUGGUGGGAAGAUUCUUAAGUAGAGGUGACAAACCUACCGAGCCUAGAGAUAGCUGGUUACUCAGGAGACGGAUAUAGUCCAAUUUUAAAGCUCUCCCUAAUACUAAAUACAUCAAUAGCUUUAAAAUUCAUUCAAAUAAGGUACAGCCUAUUUGAAACAGGAUACAACCUAGUAGACAAGGUAAUGGCUUAUUCAUAUGAUAAAGUCGGCCUAAAAGCAGCCACCUUAGACAAAAGCGUUACAGCUUUACCAUACAUUACACUAAUACCAACCUAAAUACAAAACCUCCCACCCAUACUGAGUGACUCCAUAUCUAUAUGGAAAACCUUAUGUUAAAACUAGUAACAAGAAAACCUUCUCCUAUGCGCAAGUGUAAGCCGAAAUGAACCAUUCGCCGGCAUUUAUCGUUAAUGAUUAUACAGUAAUAACCGUACAAGAAAACCCUACUACCAACAACGUUAACCUUACACCAGAGCCCUUCAGGAAAGAUUAAAAAAGAGGGAAGGAACUCGGCAAAUAAUAACCUCGCCUGUUUACCAAAAACAUCGCCUUCUGUCAACAAUAGAAGGUCUAGCCUGCCCAGUGACAAACUUAAACGGCCGCGGUAUUUUAACCGUGCAAAGGUAGCACAAUCACUUGUUCUUUAAAUAAGGACUAGUAUGAAUGGCAUCACGAAGGUUACACUGUCUCCCCUCUUUAAUCAGUGAAACUAAUCUCCUCGUGAAGAAGCGAGGAUAGACCCAUAAGACGAGAAGACCCCAUGGAGCUUUAAACAGUACCACUUGCUUAUUUUAUACCAAUUAACCACAGCAAAAUUGUCCUACUAGUUUUUGGUUGGGGUGACCGCGGAGAACAAUAAAACCUCCAUGACAGAAGGAACUAACCUCCUAAUCAAUAGAGCUACCACUCUCAGAAUUAAAAUAUUAAUUUAACUUGACCCAAUAUACUUGAACAACGAACCAAGUUACCCUGGGGAUAACAGCGCAAUCCAUUUCAAGAGCCCAUAUCGACAAAUGGGUUUACGACCUCGAUGUUGGAUCAGGGUACCCCAGUGGUGCAGCCGCUACUAAAGGUUCGUUUGUUCAACGAUUAAAACCCU
rnacentral:rRNA from 1 species